rnacentral:rRNA from 1 species
GACGAACGCUGGCGGCGUGCUUAACACAUGCAAGUCGAACGAUGAAAGAGAAUCCGAUCUCGUCGGAGUGAAGAAUCUCGGGAUUAGUGGCGGACGGGUGAGUAACCCGUGAUCAAUCUGCCUUACACAAAGGUAUAGCCUCUGGAAACCGGGAUUAAUACCAUAUUAUAUCUAUUAACCGCAUUGUCUAGAGAUUAAAGAAUUUCGGUGUAAGAUGAGCUCUCGUCCCAUUAAUUGGUUGGUGAGGGUAACGGCCGACCAAGAUAGGGAUGGGUAGCCGAUCUAAGAGGAUGCCCGGCCACAUUGGAACUGAGACACGGUCCCAACUCCUACGGGAGGGAGCAGUGGGGAAUAUUGCACAAUGGGGGAAAACCUGAUGAAGCGACGCCGCGUGAGCGAUGAAGGCUUUCGAGUAGUAAAGCUCUGUCCUAUGGGAAGAUAAUGACGGUACCAUAGAAGAAAGCCCCGGCUAAUUACGUG